UGAAAAUGGGUAUGAUAAAGGACUGAUAUC
rnacentral:piRNA from 1 species